rnacentral:lncRNA from 1 species
AUGCGGCCGUGCCCCGCACUGUCCGCCCUCCUCCUGCCGCCCCUGCUCCCGCCCCUGCCCCUGCCCCUGCUCCCGCUCCUCCUCUUCCUGCCGCCCGAACCCUGCGCCGCUGCUCCGGGCCCAGGUAGGAAGGGGCCCCGGAACAACUCUCCCGCCCCGCCUUCCCCAUCCACAGCUCUCUCUCUCUCUCUCUCUCACUCUCACACACACACACACACAUCUACAUCCCAGCCCCCGGGCCUCCCUCGACCCUCCCCCGCGGCGCCGGGGUUAAGGGUCAGGGGUCAGGGUGGGGUAGGCAGCCCCCAAGCGGCCCGGGCUCCAACCAGGAAAAUGAAGCCGAGUCGAGCCCUGGCCCCUCCCCUUCUCCCCCUCCUCAUCCCCUUCUCUUCCCCUCCUCUCCUCCCCUUCUUCCCUCCUCUUCCCCUCCUCAACCCCUCCCCUUCCCCUUCUUCUCCUUCCCCUCCCCUUUUUCCCCCCCCUUCCCCUCCUCUCCUCCCCUUCCUCUCUCCUCCCCCCAUCCCCUCUUCUUCCCCUUUUUCUCCCCUUCCCCUCCCCCUUCUCCUCUUCUUCCCUCCUCUUCCCCCCUUUUUCCCCUCUCUUUCCCUCCUCUUCCCCCCUUUUUCCCCUCCUCCCCCCUUUUUCCCCUCCUCUUCCCCUCCUCUCCUUCCUCUCUCCUCCCCCCCUUCUUCCCCUUCCCCUCCCCUUCCCCUCCCCUUCUUCUCCUCCUCUUCUUCCCUCCUCUUCCCACCUUUUCCCCCUCCUCUUCCCCUCCUCUCCUCCUCUUCCUCUUUCCUUCUUCUCCCCUCUUCAUUCCCUCCUUAUCCCCUCCUCUUCCCCUUCUCCUCCCCUUCCUUCUCCCCUCCUGUCCUCUCCCCGCCCCUUCCUCCGGCGGUUGAGGCUGACUGUCUGUUUGUCUGCCUGAUCCAGGGUCUGGGUCGGGGAUCCGGGGAAGCGGGACGGCCGAGACCCCGUCAGCCGGUGGUAUUCCCUGAGGGCUCACUGUGUGCGCAGCACUGGGCCGAGCGCUGGAUCGGUCUGGAUUUAAGCCGAUUCCGGGACUUCUAG